rnacentral:rRNA from 1 species
UUUUUUGUAAAGAAUGGUUUCGGCGUAUCACUUGAAGAUGGCUGUGCGGCUGAUUAGGUAGUUGCGGGUAACGGCCCACCAAGCCUGCGAUCAGUAACUGGUGUGAGAGCACGACCAGUCACACGGGCACUGAGACACGGGCCCGACUCCUACGGGAGGCAGCAGUAAGGAACAUUGGUCAAUGGACGAAAGUCUGAACCAGCCAUGCCGCGUGGAGGAUGAAGGUCCUCUGGAUUGUAAACUUCUUUUAUAUGGGACGAAAAAGGGUUUUCUAACUCGUCUGACGGUACCAUAUGAAUAAGCACCGGCUAACUCCGUG